rnacentral:rRNA from 1 species
CACGUAGUUAGCCGGUGCUUAUUCUUUAGGUACCGUCAGCAGAAACGGGUAUUAACCGCUCCUUUUUCUUCCCUAACAAAAGUCCUUUACAACCCGAAGGCCUUCUUCAGACACGCGGCAUGGCUGGAUCAGGCUUGCGCCCAUUGUCCAAAAUUCCCCACUGCUGCCUCCCGUAGGAGUCUGGGCCGUGUCUCAGUCCCAGUGUGGCGGAUCAUCCUCUCAGACCCGCUACUGAUCGUCGCCUUGGUAGGCCUUUACCCCACCAACUAGCUAAUCAGAUAUUGGCCGCUCGAAUAACGCAAGGCCCGAAGGUCCCCUGCUUUCCUCCUCAGAGCGUAUGCGGUAUUAGCCAAUCUUUCGAUUGGUUAUCCCCCAUUACUCGGUACGUUCCAAUAUAUUACUCACCCGUUCGCCACUCGCCGGCAGUAGUGCAAGCACUACCCCGCUGCCGUCCGACUUGCAUGUGUAAAGCAUGCCGCCAGCGUUCAAUCUGAGCCAGGAUCAAACUCU